rnacentral:rRNA from 1 species
GACGAACCGUGCGAACGUUAUUCGGAAUCACUGGGCUUAAAGCGCGUGUAGGCGGAUGGGUACGUCGGUCGCUGAAAUCCCCCGGCUCAACCGGGGAACGGGCGCCGAAACGCCCCGUCUCGAGGGACGUAGGGGGACCUGGAACUUCCGGUGGAGCGGUGAAAUGCGUUGAGAUCGGAAGGAACGCCCGUGGCGAAAGCGAGGUCCUGGACGUCUACUGACGCUGAGACGCGAAAGCUAGGGGAGCGAACGGG